AACUAUGUGUUUUCGCUUCAGUUGCUGUUGCCCUGUGACCAGCAGGUCCCCGGAGUCAGUAGGAAGGAUGCCUGGACACCCAAAAUACGGGAGAUGAUGAGUAUUUGAGCUGGUACGAGAGUGGGAGCGGAGAUGGGGCCGGAUGACACGGCUGUGCCGAGACCGGCCUCCCCCACAGCUCUGAUCCUGGACCCAUCCCCGCCGGUGUCUCGGGCUGGUCCACUCGGCGCUGGGUGAAAAUGGGCUGGGACUCCGGGGUCCUUUCCCAGCGGCGACCUCACCCGCAUAACCCUCUCCAAACAGCCCCGCUCUCCAGGACUUGCUGUCUCUAAAACAGACCUGAUCACCUAUCUGGAGCAAAGGAAAAAGCCCUGGGAAAUGAAGAGACACAGCACAUCAACCAAAUCUCCAGCUUGGGUCAUCGUUUCUGGCAUGCAGUUCCUUAACCACAGCUUACUACAGCCUCUACCUCCUUGGCUGAACAGAUCUACUCUGCUCGCCCUCGAACAAGAAGACUGUGAACCAAAAAGAUAAUUCACCACUUUCCAGGACUCCUCUCAUUGCCCAGAUGUCUGCAAGUCUAAGCCACCUCUAGACCUUAGCCGCUCUCGGUCCCA